CAAACGUCAAAUGCUUACUCGGUGCUGUUCAGCAUUCUGUCCAUCUCUCUAGUCAAUGUGCCACGGAAAGGAUCGUGGACUUUGCUGGAAGCUGUAUGGGGGAACCCUGCCUCAAGGUAACCAAACCAGGGGAACGAGAUGCACAUGCCGGGAGGGACCUUGCCCCGGGAAGGCGGAAAGGCGGAGGCAGCCUAAGAUUUGGGGCCAGAUGAGCCCACUUCCUAUGUGAUGGCUGUAAAUCAAUGAACUCCUCUGAGUUUCUCAAUUACUUCAUGUAUAAAAUGUGAGUAAUAUCGCUUACCUCUAACAAUUAAGAUUCACAUUAAAUUAAAUAACAUGCAAAGUGUCUGGCAUAAACUAGUCACUCAAUAUUUUUAAUUUCUGUGCUUGUGACUUGCCUGGAGUCCUGAAGGUGCUGUCUGCAGAGGAAUCGGUUUGCUCUUCUGAGGACCCUAGACCACCAUCUUGUCAUCAGCCAUUACUAUUCAUCAACACCAUCUAUUUCUCUGCCCAGAAGACCCCUUCCAGGAAAUGCUCCUUCCUUCACUGUAACCUUGUGAUUUGAAGGGGAUAUUCUUGUUGAUUGGGCCAAGGAUGGGCAUUUACUCAAAUCAGAGUACUUCUUUGGGAUUUGGAACAGACUAUUGCUGAUGGUGGAGCUGGCAGACAGGAGGGAAGGAACUGAAGUUGCGUUCCCAUAUUUUCCCCAAAGUGGAGAAAGUGGGUCUGAGAGGCAAAGAGAAACAAGCCUGGGAGACAGAGUCCCUGAGGCCUGCUACCCCUUGCCUUUUCUUUCUGGAAACUUCUAACACCUCACAGUCCGUCGUCCUCUCCCAAAUCCUUGAAUAAUCUGGUUGAACUUUGGUUGCUUUAACAUGCAACUGAAGGAAUCUUAAAACAAUAUUUUCCCCAAUCAUUGAGGGUGGAUAUUGUUCUCAUUUAGUAAAUGGAAGCAUAAGCCCAGAAGGGUUGAGUGAUGGAGAGCGGCCAAGAAGCUAGUCGGAGGCAGAACUAGGAUUCCUCCUAGAAGCCAAAGGCUAGGUUACCUUCACUUAUGCUCAGGAAACCUACUGUUGACCAGGAGGCCCCAAGCACUGG
rnacentral:lncRNA from 1 species